rnacentral:lncRNA from 1 species
CAUCGCGGUGGCGGUGCUCUACCUGGCCCUGCAGGUCUACGGAGUUGAGAUUUAUACCAUGGACACAGAGAUCCCCUAAGGUCCUGGCCCAGGCCUGUCCAAAGAGAAGCCCAGGAUGGUCGGCUGCCUGGGGACAUUGCCACCACGUCGCCAUGACGGCUGGUCCUCAGAGGACCAGCUGGGAGGACUGGUUGUGCUGCUGGAGAAGGGCUGGAGAAGGCGAUGGCAUGCUGCCGCUUUGACAGUCCCUAGCAGUCGCGGUGCAGGUGAUGGGAGCCGCGCCUCCAGCGGCCAGGUCGGGAGUGCACUGCGUGCAGCUGAUCCAAGGCAGCCAUAUCUGCUUUUGUCCUUUGAGAGGACUCUGACUACAAUAGAGGCCUGACAUCAAUGAAAGGAAAAUCAUGAAAUCGAUGAGACUGAAUCCCUAGGGAUUUUUUAAAAGCCAGAUCUAUAGCGAGAAUGAAUGUGCAACAUGGCUGAAAUCUAUUUU